GGCCGGAGCGGCAGGGCGGGGAGGGGAGAGCGGAGUUCCUGGAAGGAGCCGCUCGGCGCCGCCGCUGCACAACAUGGCCUCCUCCGCCUCCUCGUCUGCGGCCGGCGCCGAGGGCACCCCUCCUGCGCAGGUGAGCGCCGCGCCGCCCCCUACCUGUGGCUUCCUUCCCGCCCGGGCGCGCGGGGAUCGCGGCGCGCGGGAGACGGGGGGUCGGGGGGAGGGUCGCCGCCGGCAGCCUUGCCCUCCUGGGGGCUGCCGGACGGCGACGGCGAGGCGAGAGGAGGGGACCCUGCGGGCGGUCGGGGAUCCGGCGGCGCCUGAGGGCGCGGGACUCAAGUUGCCGUUCCGGGCAGAGUCCGGAACUCUCCGUCCGCCCCGGCGUGCGAGCAUCCUGGGGGAGGAGGUAGGGCCCCGAGAUGUAGGGGGUCUCUGCUCGGAGACAUUUGCCUCCGCGCUAAGAAAAGCGCGGCCCAGGGCUCCGGACGCCCUCGCCGCGGUCUACCGUCUCCGGGCUUCUGUGUUCUGGGCUCGCCGCUCCAGUGAUUCCGUGCCAGGCUGA
rnacentral:lncRNA from 1 species